CCAGAGCAGAGGAGAAUACCAGAGUUGAUAAGGCGGCCAGAGCUAACUCUCCACAAGUCCACUACGCCGUAUCGACCACCGAAAGUUGUCCAACAUCCCAGCCCACCUCUGCCAUCACCGAUGGGUGAUCCAACCCAACCAUUACCGAAGCAAGGAGAUCCGGGCAGCUUUAUUCUUAGUAUUGGUUUGGGUAGAGCUGGAGAGUUCUUGGGAAUGUUAGACUUAGGUGCGGCAAUCAAUGUAAUGCCGUUUGCUAUUUUUCAGAAAUUGGGCAGGAAGGAAGAUGAGUUGAAAUGCACGAAUACGAGAAUUCAGCUAGCC
rnacentral:lncRNA from 1 species